rnacentral:rRNA from 1 species
AGAGUUUGAUCAUGGCUCAGAAUGAACGCUGGCGGCGUGCUUAACACAUGCAAGUCGAGCGGUAAGGCCCCUUCGGGGGUACACGAGCGGCGAACGGGUGAGUAACGCGUGGGUAACCUGCCCAGAAGUAGGGGAUAGCCCCGGGAAACCGGGGGUAAUACCGCAUGUGCUCCAGUCGACGCGAGUCGACUGUUGAAAAGACGGGGAUCUUUCGGGACCCGUCGCUUCUGGAUGGGCCCGCGUCCGAUUAGCUAGUUGGUGGGGUAACGGCCUACCAAGGCAACGAUCGGUAGCCGGCCUGAGAGGGUGAACGGCCACAUUGAGACUGAGACACGGCCCAGACUCCUACGGGAGGCAGCAGUGGGGAAUUUUGGGCAAUGGGCGCAAGCCUGACCCAGCGACGCCGCGUGGAGGAUGAAGGCCUUCGGGUUGUAAACUCCUGUCAGGUGGGAAGAAAUCGUCGCCGGCCAAUACCCGGCGGCGUUGACGGUACCACCAAAGGAAGCCCCGGCUAACUCCGUGCCAGCAGCCGCGGUAAUACGGAGGGGGCAAGCGUUAUUCGGAUUUACUGGGCGUAAAGCGCACGUAGGCGGCAAUGCAAGUCGUAGGUGAAAGCCCUCGGCUCAACCGAGGAACUGCCUUCGAAACUGCGUUGCUUGAGUCCGGGAGGGGGGAGCGGAAUUCCCAGUGUAGCGGUGAAAUGCGUAGAUACUGGGAGGAACACCGGUGGCGAAGGCGGCUCCCUGGACCGGUACUGACGCUGAGGUGCGAAAGCGUGGGUAGCAAACAGGAUUAGAUACCCUAGUAGUCC